rnacentral:rRNA from 1 species
CCUACGGGUGGCAGCAGUGGGGAAUAUUGCACAAUGGGGGAAACCCUGAUGCAGCGACGCCGCGUGAGUGAAUAAGUAUCUCUGUAUGUAAAGCUCUAUCAGCAGGGAAGAAAAUGACGGUACCUGACUACGAAGCCCCGGCUAACUACGUGCCAGCAGCCGCGGUAAUACGUAGGGGGCAAGCGUUAUCCGGAUUUACUGGGUGUAUAGGGAGCGUAGACGGCGCUGCAAGUCCGGAGUGAAAUCCUAUGGCUUAACCAUGGUCCUGCUCGGGAAACUGGGGAGCUUGAGUGCGGGAGGGGGAGGCGGAAUGCCUGGUGUAGCGGGGAAAUGCGUAGAUAUUAGGCGGAACCCCGGCGGCGAAGGCGGCAUGCUGGACCGUAACUGACGUGGAGGCUCGAAAGCGUGGGGAGCAAACAGGAUUAGAUACCCCAGUAGUC